GAUGAACGCUGGCGGCGUGCCUAAUACAUGCAAGUCGAGCGAACAGACGAGGAGCUUGCUCCUCUGACGUUAGCGGCGGACGGGUGAGUAACACGUGGAUAACCUACCUAUAAGACUGGGAUAACUUCGGGAAACCGGAGCUAAUACCGGAUAAUAUAUUGAACCGCAUGGUUCAAUAGUGAAAGACGGUUUUGCUGUCACUUAUAGAUGGAUCCGCGCCGCAUUAGCUAGUUGGUAAGGUAACGGCUUACCAAGGCAACGAUGCGUAGCCGACCUGAGAGGGUGAUCAGCCACACUGGAACUGAGACACGGUCCAGACUCCUACGGGAGGCAGCAGUAGGGAAUCUUCCGCAAUGGGCGAAAGCCUGACGGAGCAACGCCGCGUGAGUGAUGAAGGUCUUCGGAUCGUAAAACUCUGUUAUUAGGGAAGAAAAAAUGUGUAAGUAACUAUGCACGUCUUGACGGUACCUAAUCAGAAAGCCACGGCUAACUACGUG
rnacentral:rRNA from 1 species